AGAGUUGAUCAAACAGUCGCUGCUUUUAUAUUUUUUAAAAAAAUAAAGGAGAGGAAAGUCCGGGCUCCAUAGAGCAAAGUGCCAGGUAAUACCUGGGAGAUGUAAAUCUACGACUAGUGCAACAGAAAAUAAACCACCAAUAUUUUAUAAUAAAAUUUAUCAAAAAAAUAUAGGUAAGGGUGAAAUGGUGUGGUAAGAGCACACCGCAUAUCUGGUAACAGAAUAUGGCAUGGUAAACUCCACUUGGAGCAAAGCUAAAUAGAGAUUUAUAUGUAUUGCUCGUACUGAAUCUGGGUAAGCUGCUUGAAUUAGUGAGUGAUUACUAAUCUAGAAAAAUGACUGUUUAUAACAGAACCCGGCUUAUCGAUCAACUCUAAUU
rnacentral:RNase_P_RNA from 1 species